GAAAUGCGAUACUUGGUGUGAAUUGCAGAAUCCCGUGAACCAUCGAGUCUUUGAACGCAAGUUGCGCCCGAAGCCAUUAGGCCGAGGGCACGCCUGCCUGGGUGUCACACAUCGUUUCCCCAACGCAAACAUGUAACAAUGUUGCUGCGCGGGGUGUAUGCUUAAACUCAGCGGGUAGCCCCGCCUCGUGGUUGGUUGAAAUCUGGGUUCAUGGCCGACUUCGCCGUGAUAAAAUGGUGGAUGCGCCACGCUCGAGACCAAUCACGUGCGAGCCGGUCAGUUCUGGACCCAUCGACGACCCUUUGCGUGCACGCACGCUCCCAACGAGACCUCAGGUCAGGCGGGGCUACCCGCUGAGUUUAA
rnacentral:misc_RNA from 1 species